rnacentral:rRNA from 1 species
UACGUAGGGUCCGAGCGUUGUCCGGAAUUAUUGGGCGUAAAGGGCUCGUAGGCGGUUUGUCGCGUCGGGAGUGAAAACGCCGGGCUUAACCCGGUGCUUGCUUUCGAUACGGGCAGACUGGAGGUAUGCAGGGGAGAACGGAAUUCCUGGUGUAGCGGUGAAAUGCGCAGAUAUCAGGAGGAACACCGGUGGCGAAGGCGGCCACCUGGGCCGACCCUGACGCUGAGGCGCGAAGGCGUGGGGAGCGAACGGG